rnacentral:tRNA from 1 species
CGCGAUAGCUCAGCUGGGAGAGCGUAUGACUGAAGAUCUUAAGGCCGCUGGUUCGAUCCUGCUCGU